UACGUAGGGGCCAAGCGUUGUCCGGAUUUAUUGGGCGUAAAGAGCUCGUAGGCGGUUCGGCAAGUCAGCUGUGAAAUCUCCACGCUCAACGUGGAGGGGUCAGCUGAUACUGCUGUGACUUGAGUCCGGUAGGGGAGUGUGGAAUUCCCGGUGUAGCGGUGAAAUGCGCAGAUAUCGGGAGGACACCAGUAGCGAAGGCGGCACUCUGGGCCGGUACUGACGCUGAGGAGCGGAAAGC
rnacentral:rRNA from 1 species